UACGGAAGGGGCAAGCGUUGUUCGGAAUCAUUGGGCGUAAAGGGCGCGUAGGUGGUUCUGUAUGUCUACCGUGAAAGCGUACGGCUCAACUGUAUUUUGUCGGUAGAAACUGCAGGACUUGAGGCUGGGAGGGGCUGGUGGAAUUCCCUGUGUAGCGGUGAAAUGCGUAGAGAUGGGGGAGAACACUCGUGGCGAAGGCGGCCAGCUAGACCAGUUCGUGACACUGAGGCGCGACAGCGUGGGGAGCAAACAGG
rnacentral:rRNA from 1 species